AAACAAUUUAAAACUGCGUAAUGGUCCAAACCACCAUGGAUGGUGUUCUGACGAUGAUACACGGGGUGAGGUCUGACUCAUGAGCCGCUGUCCGUGAUGACUUGACAUUCUCAAAAGGAAAUCCCGAAUGUUCUCACUGCAUGCUGCUGCAGGCCCUCAUGGCAGGGCAUCCACACCACUGGCUCAGGAAACAACACUCCACUAGAGAGCG
rnacentral:lncRNA from 10 species